ACCACAGUGAGUUAAAAGCUCGUAGUCUAUCUUCUUAGAGUGCGGAGAGCUGGCACAGCCGUUCUCAGCAGUCUAAUCUGCUCGAAAGCCUUGCUCGACCUUCGCUGGCCGACAAGGUGUCUCGGGCUCUUUACUGAGAAAAAAUUAGAGUGUUCAACGCAGGCAAUCGCAGAGAAUACACAAGCUUGGAAUAAUAGAAUAGGACUAAAGUCUUUUUUGUUGGUUAUGAGGCUUUAGUAAUGGUUAAUAGGAACAGACGGGGGCUUUAGUAUUUAAUUGUCAGAGGUGAAAUUCUCGGAUUUAUUAAGGACUAACUAAUGCGAAAGCAUUUGC
rnacentral:rRNA from 1 species